rnacentral:rRNA from 1 species
GGCGACCGGCGCACGGGUGAGUAACACGUAUCCAACCUGCCCUUUACUCGGGGAUAGCCUUUCGAAAGAAAGAUUAAUACCCGAUAGCAUAAUGAUUCCGCAUGGUUUCAUUAUUAAAGGAUUCCGGUAAAGGAUGGGGAUGCGUUCCAUUAGGUUGUUGGUGAGGUAACGGCUCACCAAGCCUUCGAUGGAUAGGGGUUCUGAGAGGAAGGUCCCCCACAUUGGAACUGAGACACGGUCCAAACUCCUACGGGAGGCAGCAGUGAGGAAUAUUGGUCAAUGGGCGCUAGCCUGAACCAGCCAAGUAGCGUGAAGGAUGAAGGCUCUAUGGGUCGUAAACUUCUUUUAUAUAAGAAUAAAGUGCAGUAUGUAUACUGUUUUGUAUGUAUUAUAUGAAUAAGGAUCGGCUAACUCCGUGCCAGCAGCCGCGGUAAUACGGAGGAUCCGAGCGUUAUCCGGAUUUAUUGGGUUUAAAGGGAGCGUAGGUGGACUGGUAAGUCAGUUGUGAAAGUUUGCGGCUCAACCGUAAAAUUGCAGUUGAUACUGUCAGUCUUGAGUACAGUAGAGGUGGGCGGAAUUCGUGGUGUAGCGGUGAAAUGCUUAGAUAUCACGAAGAACUCCGAUUGCGAAGGCAGCUCACUGGACUGCAACUGACACUGAUGCUCGAAAGUGUGGGUAUCAAACAGGAUUAGAUACCCUGGUAGUCCACACAGUAAACGAUGAAUACUCGCUGUUUGCGAUAUACAGUAAGCGGCCAAGCGAAAGCAUUAAGUAUUCCACCUGGGGAGUACGCCGGCAACGGUGAAACUCAAAGGAAUUGACGGGGGCCCGCACAAGCGGAGGAACAUGUGGUUUAAUUCGAUGAUACGCGAGGAACCUUACCCGGGCUUAAAUUGCAGUGGAAUGAUGUGGAAACAUGUCAGUGAGCAAUCACCGCUGUGAAGGUGCUGCAUGGUUGUCGUCAGCUCGUGCCGUGAGGUGUCGGCUUAAGUGCCAUAACGAGCGCAACCCUUAUCUUCAGUUACUAACAGGUCAUGCUGAGGACUCUNGAGAGACUGCCGUCGUAAGAUGUGAGGAAGGUGGGGAUGACGUCAAAUCAGCACGGCCCUUACGUCCGGGGCUACACACGUGUUACAAUGGGGGGUACAGAAGGCAGCUAGCGGGUGACCGUAUGCUAAUCCCAAAAUCCUCUCUCAGUUCGGAUCGAAGUCUGCAACCCGACUUCGUGAAGCUGGAUUCGCUAGUAAUCGCGCAUCAGCCACGGCGCGGUGAAUAC